UACGUAGGUGGCAAGCGUUGUCCGGAAUUAUUGGGCGUAAAGCGCGCGCAGGUGGUUUCUUAAGUCUGAUGUGAAAGCCCACGGCUCAACCGUGGAGGGUCAUUGGAAACUGGGGAACUUGAGUGCAGGAGAGAAGAGUGGAAUUCCACGUGUAGCGGUGAAAUGCGUAGAGAUGUGGAGGAACACCGGUGGCGAAGGCGGCAUCCUGGACCAAUAUUGACGCUGAGGAGCGAAAGCCAGGGGAGCAAACGGG
rnacentral:rRNA from 1 species